rnacentral:misc_RNA from 1 species
GGAUGAAGAACGUAGCGAAAUGCGAAAAGUAAUGUGAAUUGCAGAAUUCAGUGAACCAUCGAAUCUUUGAACGCACAUUGCGCCCGCUGGAACUCCGGCGGGCACGCCUGUCCGAGCGUCAUUUCAACCCUCAGGCCCCCCUUCGCGGGCGGGCCUGGUGUUGGGGCCCGGCCGCUACCCUGCGGCCGUCCCCUAAAUCCAGUGGCGGCCUCGCCGUGAUCCCUUGCGUAGUAAUGCACCUCGCACCGGAGAGCGCCGUGGCCACGCCGUAAAACCCCCAAUUUUCAAUGGUUGACCUCGGAUCAGGUGGGAAUACCCGCUGAACUUAAGCAUAUCAAUAAGCGGAGGA